GGUGGAGCCCAGUCCUCCGGAGGUUUGAGGAGCUAAGCAGAUGAUUCUAAAGCACAGCAAAGUUGAGACACUAAAUGCUGGGCGUGGGUACGAGCAAUGCUGCCAUCAUUUCAAUUGCGGGCUGGGCCAAAUCUUUGUGCUCAGCAAAGACCUUUUCACCAGGGGCGUGAAUAGAGAAAACCCAGUGGCUGGACUGAGGAGCAGUCAUGAGACGGAAGCCACGGCAGAUGGAAGCUGGACAUUGCUUUGAUCAGAUGCUCAAGUGACAGGGGACGAGAGCUACCACCUCCAACUUUCCACAAGCUCUUGCUUGCAGUGCCCAUGUCAGGGCUGAGAUGCUUGCUUAAGGUCAGUCAGCUAUGACUCCCUGCCCUCCACCCCGCAUCCCAAGCCCAUGCUGUACACAGUCCUCUGGCCACUUGAAUAUAUGACUCAUUUUAAUAUUUUGUUUUGCAAAUGCAGCCUGACCUUUUAGCACAGUUAAAACUUUGAAAACAAACCUAUGCUUGAAGGAGAGAGGAAAUAAGGCUGUAUAAUCCUGACUUGGCCUUACCUGCCUGCCACAGCAGGGCCUUACCCGACUGCCGCCUCCGGCAUCCAACGCAAUCUGCCUUACUCUUUGGGCUUCUUGGUGAGUGUCUCCAGGAGACCAUGGCAUUCCUUCCUGGAGGAGAGAUUCCUGAGGCCCAGAGGUAUCUGGCUCCAGUUCACUUAAGCGAACAAGGCUCUAACGUUAGGCUUUGCCGUCUCUGAGACUACAAGAUUUCUGGAUGUCUCAUUUACUUUCUAUUAAUAGACAUGGGUCGUUAUGGUUUAUGUAUACACUUAUGUGUCAGAAUUCAACCAUUCAUAGCCAUAUCAUGACUAGUGGUUUAAACUCCAACCUCAGAGCAAUAAAUCCCAUAAAAAUUCCGA
rnacentral:lncRNA from 1 species